rnacentral:rRNA from 1 species
GGGGAAUCUUCCGCAAUGGGCGCAAGUCUGACGGAGCAACGCCGCGUGAGUGACGAAGGUUUUCGGAUCGUAAAACUCUGUUGUGAGGGAAGAACAAGUACCAAGUAACUACUGGUACCUUGACGGUACCUCACCAGAAAGCCACGGCUAACUACGUGCCAGCAGCCGCGGUAAUACGUAGGUGGCAAGCGUUGUCCGGAAUUAUUGGGCGUAAAGCGCGCGCAGGCGGUCCCUUAAGUCUGAUGUGAAAGCCCACGGCUCAACCGUGGAGGGUCAUUGGAAACUGGGGGACUUGAGUGCAGAAGAGGAAAGUGGAAUUCCACGUGUAGCGGUGAAAUGCGUAGAGAUGUGGAGGAACACCAGUGGCGAAGGCGACUUUCUGGUCUGUAACUGACGCUGAGGCGCGAAAGCGUGGGGAGCAAACAGGAUUAGAUACCCUGGUAGUC